UACAGAGGGUGCGAGCGUUGUCCGGAAUUACUGGGCGUAAAGGGCUCGUAGGCGGCCAACUAAGUCGGAUGUGAAAUCCCCAGGCUCAACUUGGGAACUGCAUCCGAUACUGGAUGGCUUGAAUUCGGGAGAGGGAUGCAGAAUUCCAGGUGUAGCGGUGAAAUGCGUAGAUAUCUGGAGGAAUACCGGUGGCGAAGGCGGCAUCCUGGACCGACAUUGACGCUGAGGAGCGAAAGCUAGGGGAGCAAACGGG
rnacentral:rRNA from 1 species